rnacentral:tRNA from 1 species
CGGUCCGUGGUGGAACGGCAGACACGCCAGCUUCAGGUGCUGGUGCCCCGUCGUGGGCGUGAGGGUUCGACUCCCUCCGGACCGACCA